UAUUUUGCCAAGUCAGGUGGUCUUGAAGAUUAUUUAUUAGGAUCUUUUUAAUUUGUUAAGCUUGUACGUGGUUUAUUGAAAUUUUUAUAUAGUUAUUAAAAUUAUAUAUAAAAAAUAGGAUAAAAUGAAGUUAUUAGGAUUGUUUGUGAAUUAUUUGAAUUUUUGUUUGAUUGUUAAUAUUGUGUAAAUAGAUUAUUAGAAUUUUUUAGACUGUAAAGAUUGUAUAGAAUUAUAUAUGAAAAAUAUAUAAAAAAAAAUAUCUUAAUAACAAAAAGAUAAUAAAUGAUUCAUCGUUUUUCUGAAAAAUUUGAAAUACGGUGAAUCGUUUACCACUUUUUUAGAAAAUUUGGAAUGCGGUGAAUCGUUUACUAUUUUUCAGAAAAAUUUUGUUGAAUCGUUUAUCGCUUUUCUAAAAAAUUUGGAAUACGGUGAAUCAUUUACAACUUUCAUGAAGACAAUGAAUGAUUGAUUGUCUUUAAGAAAAAAAAUAUACCGGAUCUCCUACACGACAAAAUGAGGAUUAAUUGGCUAAAAAAAAUUUCAUAGAAUUAUUUACUCAGU
rnacentral:lncRNA from 1 species